UACAGAGGAGCCAAGCGUUGUCCGGAUUGACUGGGCGUAAAGCGCACGCAGGCGGACGCGCGCGUGGGGUGUGAAAUCUGGCCGCUUAACGGCCAGGCGCCAUCCCAUACGGCGGGUCUGGAGUGAUGCAGAGGGCGGUGGAAUUGCCGGUGUAGUGGUGAAAUGCGUAGAUAUCGGGAGGAACACCAGUGGCGAAGGCGACUACCUGGCCUGUUUCUUGACGCUGAGGCGCGAAAGCUAGGGGAGCAAACGGG
rnacentral:rRNA from 1 species